rnacentral:rRNA from 1 species
AGAGUUUGAUCCUGGCUCAGGACGAACGCUGGCGGCGUGCUUAACACAUGCAAGUCGAACGGAGCACCCUUGACUGAGGUUUCGGCCAAAUGAUAGGAAUGCUUAGUGGCGGACUGGUGAGUAACGCGUGAGGAACCUGCCUUCCAGAGGGGGACAACAGUUGGAAACGACUGCUAAUACCGCAUGACGCAUGACCGGGGCAUCCCGGGCAUGUCAAAGAUUUUAUCGCUGGAAGAUGGCCUCGCGUCUGAUUAGCUAGAUGGUGGGGUAACGGCCCACCAUGGCGACGAUCAGUAGCCGGACUGAGAGGUUGACCGGCCACAUUGGGACUGAGAUACGGCCCAGACUCCUACGGGAGGCAGCAGUGGGGAAUAUUGGGCAAUGGACGCAAGUCUGACCCAGCAACGCCGCGUGAAGGAAGAAGGCUUUCGGGUUGUAAACUUCUUUUGUCAGGGAAGAGUAGAAGACGGUACCUGACGAAUAAGCCACGGCUAACUACGUGCCAGCAGCCGCGGUAAUACGUAGGUGGCAAGCGUUGUCCGGAUUUACUGGGUGUAAAGGGCGUGCAGCCGGGCCGGCAAGUCAGAUGUGAAAUCUGGAGGCUUAACCUCCAAACUGCAUUUGAAACUGUAGGUCUUGAGUACCGGAGAGGUUAUCGGAAUUCCUUGUGUAGCGGUGAAAUGCGUAGAUAUAAGGAAGAACACCAGUGGCGAAGGCGGAUAACUGGACGGCAACUGACGGUGAGGCGCGAAAGCGUGGGGAGCAAACAGGAUUAGAUACCCUAGUAGUCCACGCCGUAAACGAUG